GGGGCGGGCCUUUCAGGCAUCCUCUCCUAUAAACUUUGCAGGGCCGGCCUUUCGGGGUCGGCCCAUUUUUUUGUGCCCG
rnacentral:sRNA from 1 species